GUUAUCUUGUCUUCCCGUAUAACAGUUAUGUAACGUUUCCGUUUGAACAUGGGGUCAGUGUGUCUUAUCUUCCAAAGUCACGCCACUAAGUGAAAGACGUGUGUCCUAACCUGCUAAAUGUUGCAAAUACUAACAGAGCCGGUAUACCUCGUCACAGACACAGCAAUAGGCCCUGGAGCUCCUUGAGAAGCCUGCCGAGGGAGAGAGGCUGAGAGGAGGAGGAUCUGGGUGCAAACGGAGCCAUGAAGAGAUGAAAUGGACACGACCGGGCGUUGCUUUUGUUCCCCUUGUUUUGUUUUGUUUUUUUUUGUUUGGUUUUUUUCUGCUGUAAAUAGAAGUCAAAAAGGAGAGAAUGAAGAAGUGUUUGUUUGGUAAACUAUUUUUAUUGUUCUGAAAAAAUAAAUACAAAAUAAGGAACAAGUGCAAGC